rnacentral:rRNA from 1 species
CCUACGGGCGACAGCAGUAGGGAAUCUUUCACAAUGGGCGAAAGCCUGAUGGAGCAACGCCGCGUGCAGGAUGAAGGCCUUCGGGUUGUAAACUGCUUUUAUAAGCGAGAAAUAUGAUGGUAACUUAUGAAUAAGGAUCGGCUAACUACGUUCCAGCAGCCGCGGUCAUACGUAGGAUCCGAGCAUUAUCCGGAGUGGCUGGGUGUAAAAAGUUGCGUAGGUGGCAUAAUAAGUAGCUAGUGAAAUCUGGUGGCUCAAACAUUCAGAUUAUUAGCUAAACUGUUAGGCUCGAGACCGUUAGGGGUAACUGGAAUGUGUAGUGUAGGAGUGAAAUCCGUAGAUAUUAGAAAGAACACCGAUAGCGUAGGCAGGUUACUAGGACGGUUCUGACACUGAGGCACGAAAGCGUAGGGAGCAAACGGGAUUAGAUACCCCAGUAGUC